CAUUCUGCACAUUCGCUGUGUUGUCCGAGCCCAGAACUUCCGUCAUCUCCCCAGAGGAGCGCUCAAGCCCAUCAACCGGAGCGCCACCGCCGCCCUUCCCGCGGCCCUGGGCACCACCAGCCCGCUGUCUCUCCUCAUGGAUCCGACGACUCGAGGUUGAAUGACACCCCACUGUUUCAUUCAUCCAUUCGUCCGUGAGCAGACACGUGCUUGCUUCUACCUUCAGCUAUUGGGAGUCCUGCGGCCGUGAACGUGGGAGCAGAGCAAUGUGAUCAGAAGGCCACGUGCUCCAUAGGUGCUGUUCUUACCCGUGUGAUUGCCGACUGUCACAUUUGUCUCCACCGUCCAGGCCAGUCCACAGCCUCUCCGCCUCCCUCAUGUCGGUAAGCCACAAUUUCACAGACACUGCAGAACCUGGGCAGCCCUAGGACCUAGUCCGCCGCCAGCCCCUGCCAAAAUUGCAUCCUUGAAAUGCGUGACAGAUUCACUCAGGAGCCCCCCUUGAGCUGUUCAUCGGGAAACAAGAGUAGCCUCAGUUUCCUACAUCAAUUACUGUUGUGAUAUCCAGCUCAGAGUUCACUGUUCUGUAGCAGAGAAGUAACAUGAUCCACAGAAUGCGUAGUGCGCACCUGUUUUCCAGAGUCUUAGUUACGAAUGUCGUGAGCGCUUUACAGUUCGGAUCCAUGUCUUACCAGCUUCGACUCUCCCACAGAGUGCCCAGCGUGGUGACCUGUACAAUGUGUAAGUCAGCAACAAACCCAGGAGUCUGCCCCAAACCUGAAUUAGUCACAUUGCCACCCUCUGUUGCCGUGUCCCCGGAAGUCAACGGGCUUCAUUUACUUCAGUUGCUAUCUUUAGUAAGGAUUUGGAGAUCACUAAUAUAGAUGGAAAGCCAGCACUCCUCGUUAUAAGAAAAAUAAAAGCACUUACAAGAAAACAAAUUCAUCCAUGUACCACCCAAAAUUAGUUCACGAACCUCCCCCCUUAUAAAUUCUGGAGUAGCUGACCUAUUAAUCUCGGGAAUCUAUUAAUCUCUUCCAAAAUAGCACAUUAAUAAAUAUCUGGGCUUUUUUCCUGAGAGCAAGAUAAUGGCUGCAUCAGAAUAAAGAAUUUGGUGUGGGGCUCCUGGGUGUCUCAGUCAGUUAAGCG